rnacentral:rRNA from 1 species
UAGGGAAUCUUCCGCAAUGGGCGAAAGCCUGACGGAGCAACGCCGCGUGAGUGAUGAAGGUCUUCGGAUCGUAAAACUCUGUUAUUAGGGAAGAACAAAUGUGUAAGUAACUAUGCACGUCUUGACGGUACCUAAUCAGAAAGCCACGGCUAACUACGUGCCAGCAGCCGCGGUAAUACGUAGGUGGCAAGCGUUAUCCGGAAUUAUUGGGCGUAAAGCGCGCGUAGGCGGUUUUUUAAGUCUGAUGUGAAAGCCCACGGCUCAACCGUGGAGGGUCAUUGGAAACUGGAAAACUUGAGUGCAGAAGAGGAAAGUGGAAUUCCAUGUGUAGCGGUGAAAUGCGCAGAGAUAUGGAGGAACACCAGUGGCGAAGGCGCCUUUCUGGUCAGUAACUGACGCUGAUGUGCGAAAGCGUGGGGAUCAAACAGG